rnacentral:lncRNA from 1 species
CAUGUCUGCGGGGGGCUUCCGAGUGCUAGAUUAAUCAAUUAUAUUAUACUCCUAAUUAAGUGACAGUAGUCUCUCUAUAGCUAGCUAGAUUGCACUCUCACACGCAAAUCGUGAAGGUGCAGUAGUUUAUAUAAAUAUGUUGUGCUCGUGCUAUUGCUACUAUUGCUUUUUGCAAUGUUAUUGUAGAUUACCAAUGCCACUAUUGCUUUUUGCCUCGAAAGUAGAUAACCAUAUUGCGAGAUAGUACUCCGUGCAACUACUAGCUAUUCUCUUCAAACAUUUGUCUUAUUUUUAUACAAAUAAUAAAAUACACAAGUUAUUCUUAAAGUAUCUCUAAUAAUAAUAAAAAUAAAUAGAGAAUUUUUUAAUAAGACAAACGGUUUUAAACAAUAAAUCUAGAAGUUAAAAACGUUACUUAAAGGCUUGGUAUAGUCGCAUAUGCAUUUGUAGUUAGGUCUAAGAUAAAGUUACUCACCCAUAUGAGCCAUGAUCGGGGACACACCACACUACCACAGCCCACAGCACAUGGCACUGUCUGCCUCGGACGUACGGUACGGUAUACGUGGCAAAGGACGUACACAGGACGGCGAUAACCUUUGACAUGCACGACAAUAUAAAUAAAUAAACUGAUGAGCCCGUAUCUAGCAAAAGGGCUGGAGGAGCACGUACAAUAUAUGUAUAUAUAGAAAACUCUGACGAUCGACAUGCAUGCGUCUGUCGCGCCUUCGCCUGUCGCUACUCAUUCAUUCUAAGAGAAUGAAUCUUUGAGAGUCAAAACAUCUAAAAUCUAACCAAUAUUAUAAAAAAAUAAAAAAUUAUAACAUUACAUAGAUCUUAUUGA